rnacentral:rRNA from 1 species
UGGGGAAUCUUGGACAGUGGGCGCAAGCCUGAUCCAGCCAUGCCGCGUGAGUGACGAAGGCCUUAGGGUUGUAAAGCUCUUUUGGUGGGGACGAUAAUGACGGUACCCGCAGAAUAAGCCCCGGCUAACUUCGUGCCAGCAGCCGCGGUAAUACGAAGGGGGCUAGCGUUGUUCGGAAUUACUGGGCGUAAAGCGCACGUAGGCGGAUUUGUCAGUCAGGGGUGAAAUCCCGAGGCUCAACUUCGGAACUGCCUCCGAUACAGCAAGUCUCGAGUCCGGAAGAGGUGAGUGGAAUUCCUAGUGUAGAGGUGAAAUUCGUAGAUAUUAGGAAGAACACCAGUGGCGAAGGCGGCUCACUGGUCCGGUACUGACGCUGAGGUGCGAAAGCGUGGGGAGCAAACAGGAUUAGAUACCCUCGUAGUCCCUGAGCGGGCUGGCAAGGCGCAU